rfam:Gossypium raimondii chromosome 9, whole genome shotgun sequence.
AAUCCAUGCAUCGAACAUUUUCGAAUUAAAUCUUUAGAUCGUUCCUCAGCUUCAUAUAAUGUUUCAUCCUCUAACUUUCAAAAAUACGUGAUGUCAUUUCUAUGCUU